rnacentral:SRP_RNA from 1 species
GCUGGGCGUGGUGGCACGUGCCUGUAAUCCCAACUACUUGGGAAGCUGAGACAGGGGAAUCGUUUGAACCUGGGAGGCGGAGGUGGCAGUGAGCCAAGGUCACGCCACUGUACUCCAGCCUGGGUGACAGAGCGAGACUCUGUCUCAA